rnacentral:rRNA from 1 species
UCGGGAAUUUUGGGCAAUGGGCGAAAGCCUGACCCAGCAACGCCGCGUGAGGGAUGAAGUAUUUCGGUAUGUAAACCUCGAAAGAAUGGGAAGAAUAAAUGACGGUACCAUUUAUAAGCUCCGGCUAACUACGUGCCAGCAGCCGCGGUAAUACGUAGGGAGCAAGCGUUGUUCGGAUUUACUGGGCGUAAAGGGCGCGUAGGCGGCGCGGUAAGUCACUUGUGAAAUCUCUGAGCUUAACUCAGAACGGCCAAGUGAUACUGCUGUGCUAGAGUGCGGAAGAGGCAACCGGAAUUCUUGGUGUAGCGGUGAAAUGCGUAGAUAUCAAGAGGAACACCUGAGGCGAAGGCGGGUUGCUGGGCCGACACUGACGCUGAUGCGCGAAAGCCGGGGGAGCAAAC